rnacentral:rRNA from 2 species
CGUAAGCGAGCGCAGGCGGUUUUGUAAGUCUGCUGUGAAAGCCCUCAGCUCAACUGAGGAAGUGCAGUGGAAACUACAAAACUUGAGUACAGAAGAGGAAAGUGGAACUCCAUGUGUAGCGGUGAAAUGCGUAGAUAUAUGGAAGAACACCAGUGGCGAAGGCGGCUUUCUGGUCUGUUACUGACGCUGAGGCUCGAAAGCAUGGGUAGCGAACAGGAUUAGAUACCCUGGUAGUCCAUGCCGUAAACGAUGAAUACUAGGUGUUGGAGGGUUUCCGCCCUUCAGUGCCGCAGCUAACGCAUUAAGUAUUCCGCCUGGGGAGUACGACCGCAAGGUUGAAACUCAAAGGAAUUGACGGGGGCCCGCACAAGUGGUGGAGCAUGUGGUUUAAUUCGAUGCUACGCGAAGAACCUUACCAGCUCUUGACAUCUUCUGCCAACCCAAGAGAUUGGGCGUUCCCUUCGGGGACAGAAAGACAGGUGGUGCAUGGUUGUCGUCCCUCGUGUCGUGAGAUGUUGGGUUAAGUCCCGCAACGAGCGCAACCCUUAUUAUUAGUUGCCAGCAUUUAGUUGGGCACUCUAGUGAGACUGCCGGUGAUAAACCGGAGGAAAGUGGGGACGACAUCAAAUCAUCAUGCCCCUUAUGAUCUGGGCUACACACGUGCUACAAUUGGAUGGUACAACGAUUACCCAAAUCGCGAGGU